rnacentral:rRNA from 1 species
UACGUAGGGUGCAAGCGUUAAUCGGAAUUACUGGGCGUAAAGCGUGCGCAGGCGGUUUUGUAAGACAGGCGUGAAAUCCCCGGGCUCAACCUGGGAAUUGCGCUUGUGACUGCAAGGCUGGAGUGCGGCAGAGGGGGAUGGAAUUCCGCGUGUAGCAGUGAAAUGCGUAGAUAUGCGGGGGAACACCGAUGGCGAAGGCAAUCCCCUGGGCCUGCACUGACGCUCAUGCACGAAAGCGUGGGGAGCAAACAGG